GGCUAGGUAGCUCAGUUGGUAGAGCACCUGGUAUAUCCAGGAGGCCUGGGUUCAAACCCCAGUCUGGUCA